rnacentral:rRNA from 1 species
AGUGGGGAAUAUUGGACAAUGGGCGGAAGCCUGAUCCAGCAACGCCGCGUGAGGGAUGACGGCCUUCGGGUUGUAAACCUCUUUCACCAUUGACGAAGCUGCAUCUUUUUGGGUGUGGUGACGGUAGGUGGGGAAGAAGCACCGGCCAACUACGUGCCAGCAGCCGCGGUAAUACGUAGGGUGCGAGCGUUGUCCGGAAUUAUUGGGCGUAAAGGGCUCGUAGGCGGUUUGUCGCGUCGGGAGUGAAAUCAUCUGGCUUAACUGGGUGCUUGCUUUCGAUACGGGCAGACUAGAGGUAUGCAGGGGAGAACGGAAUUCCUGGUGUAGCGGUGAAAUGCGCAGAUAUCAGGAGGAACACCGGUGGCGAAGGCGGUUCUCUGGGCAUGACCUGACGCUGAGGAGCGAAAGUGUGGGGAGCGAA